rnacentral:ncRNA from 1 species
AUUAAAUUUUAUUCUGGUUUAGUUUUAUUUACUAUUAAAUUAUUUUAUAUGUAAGUUUUUGCGUGAUUAUUAAUUAUUUUAUCUUGAGGAUUAUUUAAUUUAUUUAUUUUUCGCAGUAGUAAAUUUUAUUAAUUUAUGGAAAUUUGAUUUGGUAAUUUUGAUUUAUUAUUGGUAAAAUUUGUGCCAGCAUCCGCGGUUAUACAAUGGAUAUAAGUUAAUAUUUUUGGUUAAAGUAGUUAAUUUUUUUUUGUUUGGAUAGUUAUUAUUUUUUGAGGUGAAAUUCUUAAUAUUUAUUAUUAUUCUAUUUUAUUUGAAGCUAUAAAAUCUUAAUUUUAAACUAGGAUUAGAUACCCUAUUAUUUUUGAUAUAAAUUAUUUUUAACUUAGGUAGUACUAGUUAAGGUCUUGAAACUUAAAGAAUUUGGCGGUAUUUUAGUCUUUUUAGAGGAAUCUGUUCCUUAAUCGAUAAUCCACGUUGAACCUUACCAAAUUUAAUUUAGUAUGUAUACCGCCGUUAUAAUGAGAAUCUUUUUAGGGUUUAAUAAUUUUCUUAAUUUCUUUUAAAGGGUAUUUCAGGUCAAGGUGCAGCUUAUAUUUUGGUGGAAAUGGAUUACAUUUAUUUUGUUAUUGGAAUAUUAAUUGAAAUUUUAAUAUAAAAUUGGAUUUAAUUGUAAUUUUUUGUAGAUUAUAGAAAUGAUUUUAGCUCUGUAAUAUGUACACAUCGCCCGUCACUCUCAUUAUUUAUAGUUGAGAUAAGUCGUAACAUAGUGGUUGUACCGGAAGGUGUAGCUAGGAUAAU